GAUGAACGCUGGCGGCGUGCUUAACACAUGCAAGUCGAACGAUGAACCUCACUUGUGGGGGGAUUAGUGGCGAACGGGUGAGUAACACGUGAGUAACCUGCCCUUGACUCUGGGAUAAGCCUGGGAAACCGGGUCUAAUACUGGAUACGACCUUCUGGCGCAUGCCAUGUUGGUGGAAAGCUUUUGUGGUUUUGGAUGGACUCGCGGCCUAUCAGCUUGUUGGUGGGGUAAUGGCCUACCAAGGCGACGACGGGUAGCCGGCCUGAGAGGGUGACCGGCCACACUGGGGCUGGGGAACGGCCCAGGAGUCCAAGGGGGGGAGCAGUGGGGGAUUUUGCAACAUGGGGGGAAGCCUGAUGGCGGGGCGGCGGGGGGGGGGUGGAGGGCUUUGGGGUGGUAACCUCUGUCAGUAGGGAAGAAGCCGGCUUUUGGGUUGGUGACGGUACCUGCAGAAGAAGCGCCGGCUAACUACGUG
rnacentral:rRNA from 1 species